CACAUUGCGCCCUCUGGUAUUCCAGGGGGCAUGCCUGUUUGAGCGUCAUUUCUCUCUCAAACCUUUGGGUUUGGUAGUGAGUGAUACUCGUUUUUCGGGUUAACUUGAAAGUGGCUAGCCGUUGCCUUCUGCGUGAGCAGGGCUGCGUGUCAAGUCUAUGGACUCGACUCUUGCACAUCUACGUCUUAGGUUUGCGCCAAUUCGUGGUAAGCUAGGGUCAAUGAGCUUAUAGGUGUUAUAAAGACUCGCUGGUGUUUGUCUCCUUGAGGCAUACGGCUUAAUCAAAACUCUCAAAGUUUGACCUCAAAUCAGGAG
rnacentral:rRNA from 1 species